rnacentral:sRNA from 1 species
UUUGUAUUAAACUAUGGAAAGGGUUGGACAUGGGGUGUUUCCGGCAACGGCUUUCUCGAUCACGUGCUUGCAGUGGUUGGUGGUGUAGCUAGAUCUGAUGUUGUAGCUUUCUCUCAGUCGAUUGAGUUUUUCCGGGAGCUUUGCCCUUGGAAAUUAUGUUCAGACCAUUUCAGGUUCGUCGUGGUGGUGGGCUAUGACGGUGCAACAACGUGGGUGGCUAUGGCCUGGUUUAUGGGUUCGUGGUGGCGUUAAGACGAAGAUGAUGGCUCAAGUUGGGUAUCCCUUACGACCCCACCCUCUGUGUGUUGUCUAGGCUACAGUUGGCGUCGUACGUGCCUUUGCCUCUAUGCCUCCUACCAAUUCUGCACUUUCUUCUCGUGGACAUGUCAUGAAGCCGCAUAUUAUACGAUAUUUUUACUAAAUAGAUAUCCGUGUUAUUAACCAAGUAAGAAUGAUAAGGGGCACACAAUGUCGUUGCAUAAGGCACCUCGAGGUGCUGCCGAGGAACUGGAGUCGAGCACAAGAUGAGAGAAUACAUUUCUAUGAAAAAACAAUAUCCUAUAGAAAGAAGUCUUCUUUAAUUAUUUUCCGGCCACCAUGAGAUCUAAUUCAAUCUUCAUAGAUUUCUCAAGAAAUUUUCCUAUGUGAACUUCUUUUCCUGGAGAAUAAGCAAUUUGGACUUGUCAUUCGAUUCAUAACCUUUCAAACACAAUCACUAUCUAUCGAAUAUUUUAUUUUUUAAUUUAGUUUUUUUAUGUUUUGCUUGUCUUGUUUCGACGAUUUGUUCAUGUCGCUACGGUGACUGUGGCCCCGCUGCUUGUGAUGACUUUACGUGAGGGUUUUGAUGCUAAGUAUGUCACCUUUAUU